rnacentral:misc_RNA from 1 species
AGGGCGAUGCGGGCGCGCGUCG